AUGGGGAAAAGGAGAAGAUCCAAACACCCCCUCAGCCAAGAGAACUCGCCGAUAAAGACAUCAAAACAGAGGCGGCUGGAAGACUGCCCGGCAUGGUCAGACGCUGCAGAACCAGAGGGUGAGUUUGCUAGACCUGGCUCUCCCGGUUCCCUAAUCAGAGAUUUCGCAGAAGACCAGUUGUUAUCCUCCUUGACUUCACAAGAUAAACAUUCCUCACAAACUGAGAAUGCUUUUAGCAAUUUCUUUUUAACUCUGCUUGGCGAACACUGCGUAAUUACUGGGGAGACAAUUAUAUAUAUAUGUCAACAGCUUAAUGCCAUUAUAGCUCACCUGGACAAGCUCAACAAGACUAUUCUGCCCAUAUCUUUAUGUCCCGGACUAGACACAGGACCUCACUCUAGUUGCCUAGAGAGAAACAGAAAAUUAACCGUACCUGAUACUCGGAUGUGUGCAGAGGUUUCCAAGGGGACAUGCCGCUCCCUAAUGAGAAAUCAAAUUGUGUUGGAGGUCUGGGACACCCCGUUAAACAAAGGUAGAUGGACAAAUAAGCAACAUGUGCUCAAUUCACUGGGCAGCCUCUUAUGCUUGGAUAGUCAUAAGAUUGAUUUAUUAGAAAUGACAUGUCUUCCGCGGUGCUCCCGAUGGCCGCGCUGCCUCCGUGUGCUGCUGAAGUUCAAAAGUUUCAGAAUUCCUCGUUUACUCUAUGAGAAAAAAUAUCUUCUCGAAUUCUACAAUAUAUUCUUGCGAAGAGUGUUCAGCGACACGCCUCUUAAACCACUGAUAUCAAAGAACAUGCUGAAAUGCUCUUUAUCAGCUUCCUCUGAAGCUCCAAGGACAAGACCUGGACAGCUGCCCAGCUCUCAGUUAAGAGGUAACGGCCUUCAGAAUACAAUCAUUAGAGCUGACUCUCCAUCUGUUAAGAGCCCAGGCGUUCCUUCUCUACUAUCUGAACUAAAAGCAGCAACUAACAAUAUUGGAAGAUCCUUAGCGAAGCUAAAAUCAGCUCAUCUUGAGCCUCGCGUGGAAACACACUUGUCUUGUCCCAGUCUAAGUAGUGCCCAGCACAUCGGAAAAGGCAAAGGGAAGAGGAAAAGCAAGGAAUUAUGCAAUGAUUCUCCUCCUGACCCUUCAGAAUCCAAGUCUACAGCUGAUGCAUUGGGAAUUACUCUCCCUGGGGCAACAGCACCAAGCCCCUUGUCCAAACAUAAUACCUCCACUAUGGACCUGAUCAUUCCUGAACCAGACACAUCAGCAGAUCUGAUGUCACUAAUUUCGCCAGCCAGACCCUCAAGUGAGACACCAGGCCAACUGGAAACAAUUGGCAUUUCCUCAAAAAAAGUUCCAUCGGGGGAGACACUGCCUAGGACGAAGCCUAAAGCCACCCCAAUCUUGGAGCACCUCUCUUGGAAGCCCAUUGAUGUGUGCCCUCAGACUGAACCAUUGUCCACCCUACCACAUAUACAGCCCAGUUUCAGCUCCACCAACGGUCCUGACCCAGGAGAACUUCUACUGCAGCUUGAUAUCGAUAUAGACAGCGAGAUUUUGCCUAGCGAGGCCAUUGAUGGGUUUAAAGUGCUACCACGAGAAAACCAGAAUCUGGUGCUCAAGAAGGUAGAGGCCUUAAGGCAGGAGCUGAGGACUCUGGUCGAAUCCUCCCAGCCCAAGAGCACCCUUGAAGGAUCCUUAUCCCCUCGGGGGACGAACGCCUCUAUCUCGUCGAUCUCCAAUGAGCCUACAAUAAGGUUAGAAGCCUGCAAGGGCAGGACCCCUCCACAUAAGGAAUACACCCAGGCAGUGUUGCCUACAACUACCUGCACUCCAGUGGGCCCCUUGUCGCUAACCUCCUCACCGUCUACUGGUGCCCAGUUCACCAGAGGAGCACAAAGAAUGCAGGAUGACCAGCCAGGACACGACAACAGAGGCUACAGUGAUCUCUCUCAGCCCCCUACUCUCAGCAAGGAACCACUGACAUCACUGCAAGUGCCCUGCUCCUCAUCUAAUCCAGCUAAGGUGAGCGUGGACAUUCACAACCACAAGAAUCUCAGUGACUGCCCUACGGUCCCACUGGUUCUGCUUGAACCCUCGGCUACCUUGGCUGCAGACAACCUAUCCAGGGUGGUCCCAUAUGCAGACAGUCUGCCGCUGAAGCCGAUGAUGUGUACCCCACUGCUGUCUGCAAACUGA
ensembl:lncRNA